rnacentral:rRNA from 1 species
ACUUAAAUUGAAGAGUUUGAUCAUGGCUCAGAUUGAACGCUGGCGGCAGGCCUAACACAUGCAAGUCGAGCGGUAGCACAGAGAGCUUGCUCUCGGGUGACGAGCGGCGGACGGGUGAGUAAUGUCUGGGAAACUGCCUGAUGGAGGGGGA